GACGAACGCUGGCGGCGUGCUUAACACAUGCAAGUCGAACGGGAUCCAUGUUGUAGCAAUACUUCGGAAGAUCUAGUGGCGAACGGGUGAGGAACACGUGAGAAACCUGCCCCGAACUUCGGGAUAACAGUUGGAAACGAUUGCUAAUACCGAAUACCUCUGCGAAGUGGCAUCACUUUGCAAAGAAAGAAUUUCGGUUCGGGAGGGUCUCGCGGCCUAUCAGCUAGUUGGUGGGGUAACGGCCUACCAAGGCAUCGACGGGUAGCUGGUCUGAGAGGAUGAUCAGCCACACUGGGACUGAGACACGGCCCAGACUCCUACGGGAGGCAGCAGUGGGGAAUCUUGUGCAAUGGGCGAAAGCCUGACACAGCAACGCCGCGUGCGGGAAGAAGGCCUUCGGGUCGUAAACCGCCUUCAGCAGGAACGAAAAUGACGGUACCUGCAGAAGAAGGUGCGGCCAACUACGUGCCAGCAGCCGCAGUAA
rnacentral:rRNA from 1 species